rnacentral:rRNA from 1 species
CCUACGGGUGGCAGCAGUGAGGAAUAUUGGUCAAUGGUCGGGAGACUGAACCAGCCAAGCCGCGUGAGGGAUGAAGGUACAGAGUAUCGUAAACCUCUUUUGUCAGGGAACAAAGGCGGGGACGUGUCCCCGGAUGAGUGUACCUGAAGAAAAAGCAUCGGCUAACUCCGUGCCAGCAGCCGCGGUAAUACGGAGGAUGCGAGCGUUAUCCGGAUUUAUUGGGUUUAAAGGGUGCGCAGGCGGGCCGGUUAGUCCGGCGUGAAAUGCCGGGGCUCAACCCCGGCCCGGCCGUUGAAACUGGCAGUCUCGAGUGGGAGAGAGGUAUGCGGAAUGCGCGGUGUAGCGGUGAAAUGCAUAGAUAUCGCGCAGAACUCCGAUUGCGAAGGCAGCAUGCCGGCUCCACACUGACGCUGAGGCACGAAAGCGUGGGUAUCGAACAGGAUUAGAUACCCUAGUAGUC